GGUGGGGUGGCAGAGCGGACGAUUGCACCGGUCCUGAAAACCGGAGUACCUUUACGGGUACCGUGAGUUCGAAUCUCACCCCCACCG
rnacentral:tRNA from 1 species